CCGAUUAGCUAGUUGGUGAGGUAAUGGCUCACCAAGGCAACGAUCGGUAGGGGGUCUGAGAGGAUGAUCCCCCACACUGGUACUGAGACACGGACCAGACUCCUACGGGAGGCAGCAGUAAGGAAUAUUGGACAAUGGGCGCAAGCCUGAUCCAGCCAUGCCGCGUGAAGGAUGAAGGCCCUAUGGGUUGUAAACUUCUUUUGGUAGUGAAAAAACCCCUCGAUGCGUCGGGGGCUGAUGGUACCUACAGAAUAAGGAUCGGCUAACUCCGUGCCAGCAGCCGCGGUAAUACGGAGGAUCCAAGCGUUAUCCGGAUUUAUUGGGUUUAAAGGGUGCGUAGGCGGAUAAAUAAGUCAGUGGUGAAAGCCUGCAGCUUAACUGCAGAACUGCCAUUGAUACUGUUUAUCUUGAAUAUAGUUGAGGUGGGCGGAAUAUGACAUGUAGUGGUGAAAUACUUAGAUAUGUCAUAGAACACCGAUUGCGAAGGCAGCUCACUAAGCUAUGAUUGACGCUGAGGCACGAAAGCGUGGGUAGCAAACAGGAUUAGAUACCCUGGUAGUCCACGCCCUAAACUAUGAUCACUCGAUGUUGGCGAUACACAGUCAGCGUCUAAGGGAAACCAUUAAGUGAUCCACCUGGGGAGUACGACCGCAAGGUUGAAACUCAAAGGAAUUGACGGGGGCCCGCACAAGCGGAGGAGCAUGUGGUUUAAUUCGAUGAUACGCGAGGAACCUUACCUGGGCUUGAAAGUUAGUGAAU
rnacentral:rRNA from 1 species